GAUUAUUUUAAGCAAACAUUACAUCAAACCCUAAAACAAUCAGAUUAAUUUUCUGCUUAAAAUAUUUGAAGGAUAGCUGUGAAGGACGAGGAGGCUUAUUUUAAAGUCUGAAAGCCAGUUUUUCGUUUUUUUUAAGAUUCAUGUUUUUAACAUUACAGGGGAUCCAGGAAAGUGUAAUUAAUUAGGACAAAACCUCAGUAGUACGGAAAGUACACAGAGGUAAAUUAAAAAUCCAUUUGGUUAUUUUGAUGACCUUUAAAUAUUUUAUAUUCUUUUCUGCCUUUCUAAAUGAU
rnacentral:lncRNA from 1 species